GACGAACGCUGGCGGCGUGCCUAAUACAUGCAAGUCGAGCGCAGGAAACCAGAUGACCCCUUCGGGGUGAUUCUGGUGGAAUGAGCGGCGGACGGGUGAGUAACACGUGGGCAACCUGCCUGUAAGACUGGGAUAACUUCGGGAAACCGGAGCUAAUACCGGAUAGUAUUUCCUUUCUCCUGAUUGGACAUGGAAAGACGGUUUCGGCUGUCACUUACAGAUGGGCCCGCGGUGCAUUAGCUAGUUGGUGGGGUAAUGGCCCACCAAGGCGACGAUGCAUAGCCGACCUGAGAGGGUGAUCGGCCACACUGGGACUGAGACACGGCCCAGACUCCUACGGGAGGCAGCAGUAGGGAAUCUUCCGCAAUGGACGAAAGUCUGACGGAGCAACGCCGCGUGAGCGAUGAAGGCCUUCGGGUCGUAAAGCUCUGUUGUUAGGGAAGAACAAGUACGAGAGUAACUGCUCGUACCUUGACGGUACCUAACCAGAAAGCCCCGGCUAACUACGUGCCAGCAGCCGCCGUAA
rnacentral:rRNA from 1 species